rnacentral:lncRNA from 10 species
AAAAAGGUGAGUGGGAUAGUUUCAUUUGCCUUGAGGAUUUGCUUCCCAAUCUUCUCUACCCUGUUUGACAUCCCAAGAGGGUGGCUUCUCUGUACCUCAUCAGUGAUAUUCUUUUCCUUUUGGUUUCUGGUUGAACUGAGACACUGAGAGACACUGGUAGGAGACUGGAAGGCAGGAGGGGAGUGAUUUGGAAUUUUCACCUCCUGGGCCUCUGCCUUUGUGACUGUGUGUUGGUGAUGCAGGGCUUCUCCACCUGCCUGCUCAUCCUCUCCCAACCCUACAGCUACAGCUAUGGCUAUGGCUGUGCUCUCAAUGGUAACUGCUCCUUCCCUGUCCCUUUAAGCUUAGGGGAGGAAGUAGUGCUACACCAUUGCCAUUUAGGGUGCUUCCCUAGGCAUUGUCUUUUCCCCUUAACCCUGUCCAUCUUUGUACAUAGUCCCCUCAUGAAACACUCCUCAUUUAUUUCAUUUUGGACCAUCUGUUUCUUCCUUAGACCUUUCCAGAUAGGCAAAGAAGAAUAACUUUGAAAAGUAAGUAAAAUAAUAAGACCCCUUAACCACAGCUCAGCUGUAGGAAGGAAUGCCUGCAUAUCCCCUUGCUCCUUAAAUGAAUUUAAAAAGCAUCAUUAUCUCCAUGAAAGCAGAUUGAAUAGUUGGAAUAAAGGGGGUGAUAUGGAGAGAUGGAUCAGAGGGAGAAAGCUCUGCUGACCCCAUUUGAAACUCCCGCAGUCUGGGCUGCCAGCACUCAGUUUCUAGAAGGAAGCUUCAUGUCUCCUGCCUUUUCUUGAAGGAAACUUAUGAACUUCUGUAUGCAGAACCCCAAGGUGGAAACACAGGUUUGUGAACUUAUAGCAGAAACAAUAACUUGCUGUGGAAAGAAGAGAGUUCUUGGUACAUACCCUUACCUUUCCUCCUUCUUCAAGUCCAAAGAUAAAGAGCUGCCCCUUGCUAAAGGGGUAGAGCCUUUCUGGGAUUCCGUGACUUCAGAGCACUAUUCUGUGUUGUGUCAUUUAGGAGAUGCCUACAAGAGCUGGAAUGAGAACUGGCAACCAACCCAGGUUUAUGAAGAUACAGACAGCAUGUGAUUUCCUGUAUGAGGAUUGCAGGCAAAUCAGAAGCCAGAGCUGUUUGAGCCACGAUCCCUAACUGAGAUGUUUCUUGGCCUCUGUCCCAUUAUUAAUACAUAUCUGCCUCUCUCAUCAUAUCCCAUCUCAUUCAACUUCCUUGGUGAAGACGUCCCUUGUGCUAAAGGUGGAGGGCCUUUCUGGGAUUCAGUGACUUCAGAGAACCCUUCUGUGUUGCUUAAUUCAGGAGAUGCAUACAGGAGCUGGAGUCAAAGCUGCUGUAAAACUACCUGAAAGUUACACCCAGAACAAUUUGUACAAAACCUGGAAGAAUGAAGAAUUCUACAAUUGAAAGUAUCUGAGAUCUUUGGUUUGUUUCUUUGUUGAUGUAAACAUUUGUGUGAGAGGAGUCCAUGAGGGGAAAUAGGAGAUAUGUAGGGCUUGGAGUAUAAAGAGAGAUAUUCAUGCAGAUUUCAACUGGAGAAUGAGGACUG